rnacentral:rRNA from 1 species
UGGAGAGUUUGAUCCUGGCUCAGGAUGAACGCUAGCGGCAGGCUUAAUACAUGCAAGUCAAGGGCUCUUUGGUUCCGCAAGGGAUCAGAGGACCGGCAAACGGGUGCGUAACGCGUAUGUAACUUACCCCUCACCGGGGGAUAGCUCCGGGAAACCGGAAUUAAUACCCCAUAACAAUCCGGAAAGGCAUCUUUCCGGGUCCAAACCUCGGGCAACCUUGGAGUGAGGGAGAGGCAUGCGUCCCAUUAGUCAGUUGGUAGGGUAACGGCCUACCAAAACUUCGAUGGGUAGGGGGUCUGAGAGGAUGAUCCCCCACACUGGUACUGAGACACGGACCAGACUCCUACGGGAGGCAGCAGUAAGGAAUAUUGGGCAAUGGGCGAAAGCCUGACCCAGCCAUGCCGCGUGGGUGAAGAAGGCCUUCGGGUUGUGAAGCCCUGUCGGACGGGAAAAAUGUCAAUCGUGCUCAUACCACGGUUGAGUGAUGGUACCGUUAGAGGAAGCACCGGCUAACUCCGUGCCAGCAGCCGC